UGGGGGAUAGUCUAACGGUAGGACAGCGGACUCUGACUCCGUAGGUCCAGGUUCGAAUCCUGGUCCCCCAGCCA
rnacentral:tRNA from 2 species